CAGGCCUAACACAUGCAAGUCGAACGCAGUACAGGACUUCGGUUUUAUACUGAGUGGCGGACGGGUGAGUAACGCGUGGGAACCUGCCCUUGAGAAGGGGAUAACUGUGGGAAACUACAGCUAAUACCCUAUACGCUCCUUACGGAGGAAAGAUUUAUCGCUCAAGGAUGGGCCCGCGUCGGAUUAGGUAGUUGGUGGGGUAAUGGCCUACCAAGCCGAUGAUCCGUAACUGGUCUGAGAGGAUGGCCAGUCACACUGGGACUGAGACACGGCCCAGACUCCUACGGGAGGCAGCAGUGGGGAAUAUUGGACAAUGGGGGCAACCCCGAUCCAGCGAUGCCGCGUGAGUGAAGAAGGCCUUCGGGUUGUAAAACUCUUUCACCUGUGACGAUAAUGACGGUAGCAGGAGAAGAAGCACCGGCAAACUCUGUGCCAGCAGCCGCGGUAAU
rnacentral:rRNA from 1 species